GACGGAAGGUGCAAGCGUUGCUCGGAAUCACUGGGCUUAAAGGGCGCGUAGGCGGAUUUGCAAGUCCGUGGUGAAAUCCCACAGCUCAACUGUGGAACUGCCUCGGAUACUGUGAGUCUCGAGGGUGGUAGGGGUAUGCGGAACUAUCGGUGGAGCGGUGAAAUGCGUUGAUAUCGAUAGGAACUCCGGUGGCGAAGGCGGCAUACUGGACCACAUCUGACGCUGAGGCGCGAAAGCCAGGGGAGCAAACGGG
rnacentral:rRNA from 1 species